GGCUGGACUUGGUUGGGCUGGAUUUUGGGCUAUAACACAUUUGAUUCAUAAUCAAAAUUAAAAUUUGAAUCUGAAUCGAAAUAAAAAUUUGAAUUCUUGAAAAGGAGUAGAAAUUAAAUUUUAGGUAGAUUGGACCAUUGUAAUUCUAUUUCAGAAUCAAAAUCGGAAUGAAACUCUUUCCAACCAAAUGAUCAGAAUGAGAAUCAUCAUUUUCAUUUUUAUUUCAGUCCCCAACCCUCCCCAACCAUAUCUUCUAAGAUUAAAGUGGCCACCAGUGGGGUCUAAUGCAAUGAGACGUCUC
rnacentral:lncRNA from 1 species